GUAGGUGAACCUGCGGAAGGAUCAUUAGUUGUAUUCCAAACCUACUCAACCAAGCCAAUCUGUUGCAGGGCGAAAGCCUCGCAGCUAACAACCUAACCAAAAGCAAGCUAACUAAGCUUCAACCUAAAACCAAAUCCUCAACGAUGGAUAUCUAGGUUCCUACUACGAUGAAGAACGCAGCGAAGUGCGAUAAGCAAUGCGAAUUGCAGAGCCGAGAGUCAUCAGAUUUUUGAACGUAACUGACACCGGAGAGCUCUCUCUUCGGUAUGCUUCUUUCAGUGUGUGAUUCUCUCAUCACCCAAACCUUAAUGCGAUAGAUGCCCUUCUAUUGCUAAGCUUGAAAGCACUCUGUACCCUGCAGCGGAGGUCCGCAAGGACUGACGCACUCAAUGCAGUAGUCACAUUCUCAAAUGUGAACUCAUUGAGCGUAGAGUCAGUGCAUGUUUACAUGCCAGUGCUUAGACACACAAAUUUUCUCAGCAUCUGAAAUGAAGUAGGACCACCCGCUGAACUUAAGCAUAUCAGUA
rnacentral:rRNA from 1 species